rnacentral:rRNA from 1 species
AGCGAACGCUGGCGGCAGGCUUAACACAUGCAAGUCGAGCGGGCAUCCUUGUGGUGUCAGCGGCAGACGGGUGAGUAACGCGUGGGAACGUGCCCUUCGGUUCGGAAUAACUCAGGGAAACUUGAGCUAAUACCGGAUACGUGCGAGAGCAGAAAGGUUUAUCUGCCGAAGGAUCGGCCCGCGUCUGAUUAGCUAGUUGGUGAGGUUAUGGCUCACCAAGGCGACGAUCAGUAGCUGGUCUGAGAGGAUGAUCAGCCACACUGGGACUGAGACACGGCCCAGACUCCUACGGGAAGCAGCAGUGGGGAAUAUUGGACAAUGGGGGCAACCCUGAUCCAGCCAUGCCGCGUGAGUGAUGACGGCCUUAGGGUUGUAAAGCUCUUUUCUCCGGGACGAUAAUGACGGUACCGAAGGAAUAAGCCCCGGCUAACUUCGUG